UGGGGAAUAUUGGACAAUGGGCGCAAGCCUGAUCCAGCCAUGCCGCGUGUGUGAAGAAGGCCUUUUGGUUGUAAAGCACUUUAAGCGAGGAGGAGGCUACUUGGAUUAAUACUCUAGGAUAGUGGACGUUACUCGCAGAAUAAGCACCGGCUAACUCUGUGCCAGCAGCCGCGGUAAUACAGAGGGUGCGAGCGUUAAUCGGAUUUACUGGGCGUAAAGCGUGCGUAGGCGGCUUCUUAAGUCGGAUGUGAAAUCCCUGAGCUUAACUUAGGAAUUGCAUUCGAUACUGGGAAGCUAGAGUAUGGGAGAGGAUGGUAGAAUUCCAGGUGUAGCGGUGAAAUGCGUAGAGAUCUGGAGGAAUACCGAUGGCGAAGGCAGGCAUCUGGCCUAAUACUGACGCUGAGGUACGAAAGCAUGGGGAGCAAACAGG
rnacentral:rRNA from 1 species